GGAUCAUAGCUUAGUGGUUGAGCAUCUCCUUUGCAUGCAGAAGGUCCCAGAUUCAAUCAUUGGCAUCUCCA